UGAAACCUUUUUAUACUUUGUGUUUUGCUUCGUUUUUAAUGUUGUAUUUUAUUUCAUAUUGUAAUCUUUAUAAAUUUUAUUCUUAUUCAUGUAUUUUCAUGGGUCUAUUUUAUUUAUUUAUUUAUUUUUGUUCUUUUUACUUUUAUUAAUUGCUGUAUCUAUUGGUUCCUUCUUGUCUGUAAAGCACUUUGAAUUGCAUUAAUUUGUUUAGAAAAGUGCUAUAUAAAUAAAAUUUGCUUGCUUGCUUGCAGUUUUUUUUACUGCAUUUUUGAUUAAAUAAAUCCAGCCUCGGUAAACAGAAGAGACAUUAAACAAUUGUAGUGUUUCCAAACUUUUGAUAGGUAGGCUACUGUAUAUUUUCUGCCUUAUUCUGUGAGAGAGAUGAAAUAUGAACUAAAAUGUGCUUUUAAUAUACUAUCUUUGUAUUUAAAAAAAUAUAUUUAGUUACCAUUUAUAGUACACUAUGGGUUCAAAUGUACUACACUGUAAAAUGUAACUGAUGAUCUUACUAAUAAAAUGAAGUGAUUUUAACUUAUUUUGAGUAAGUUUGUUGACCUUACUGAGUUUAACUAAGUAACGACAACUUUUUAGAACUGAAAGAUAUUAAACUCAAUAGAUUCAAUUAUCCUCUACUUAAAAUAAUGAGUAGUACGAAAUUUUUUAAAUGGUCAUGCGCAGUUCUACCUGUAGGUGGAGUCAAUUUGCAACGUAUUCUGAGGGGAGAAGCAUGGAACGGUGAGUUGCUGCUUGUUUGUCAUAUUUUAAAAUUUCUGAAUGGUUUAAUAUACAUUAAUGGAUAUUGUAAUAUAAUCAGAUUAAAUAACUUACACAGUGAUACUGGGUGUGAUGUUAGAUUAUUGAAAUUGUUGAGUUGUAUUUGAUUGUGCUAAUUGAAAUUAGCAGUUAGCAUUUGCAAGUUACUGGUCUUUGGCUGCAUGUUUUGAAUAAAGGAAUGUUUUUUUAUGUUUUAGAUAUUUUUAUUAUGUGUACAAUGUAUACUGGGGAAAACUUUACUAAUGAUUUAUAUUUGGAUGCUAGUUUGGGUGUGUUUUACAGGGAUGUUAUAAUUUUUUAUUUUUUUAUUUUAGAUUUCUUAAGAUUAAAAUGUUUGAAGACUACACAAUGGAUCUGUUUGUGGAAUGAGAUAUGCAUUGGAAAUAUCAAUGCAGAUUUCAAUCACAUCACAAUCAGAAGCCUCAAUCAGUUCUUCUCAGCGCUUUAUCAACUUGCAGCUUGAUUUCUGGAAAUUUGUGCAACAAAGAAAGUGGCAGCUGAGAAGAGAGUUUAUUGCGCAAAUUAUAUCUAUGCACUGUCAUCACUGCUAAGUGCACAGUUCUUCAUGACCUUCCUCUCAUUCGUGGAGAAGAAACCUUUUUUAAAUAGUGCUGACAGGACUGUGAUUGUGACACGCCCUUCUUCAGGAUUCUGACCGUGAUAACAGAAGACAGCCAGGAUUCUUCCUCCACAAGAACUACAUUUGGAGUCUUCAUGCACAGCAUUAUUCUAGACUGAGCCAUUGUCAUGGACGAACUUGAAAACCUUCCAGGUGCCAUGUGACUAAUUUUUGGGCUGAUAUGUGCCAAAUUUGGAGUUUUUCUUUCCCUUGGACACAAUUCUCUGAAACCAAAACUACAUUCACUUAAAACCCUUCUGUUGAUGUAAGCAAAGGCUGUUUGAGAUCAUUAAAGGGUUACUUCACAAAAAAAUGUAAAUUCUGUCAUCAGUUUUUCACUCUCAUGUUGUUUGACUUUGGUUAGUCUUUCAAACACAAAUUUAGAUAUUUUUAAAGAAAACAGGCUGGAAAACUUUUUUGGUCUUUUAAGUUUUGGUUACCUGGACUUUCAGUUGGAGGGACAGAAACCUCUCAGAUUUCAUUAAAAAUAUCUUCAUUUAUGUUUCAAAGUCUAACCAAAGUCUUAUGGGUUUGUGACGUCAUGAGGGUGAGUAAAUGAUGAGAGAAUUUCAUUUUUUUGUGAACUAUCUCUUUAAUCUUGCAGUGCACUAAAGUCAACAUUCUUUUUAAUUAAAGUGUUAAAUUGUCACCUGCCAAAGUUUAAACUGUCAAAAUUAAGCUAACAUUGAUUUUUGUUUCAUGGUCAGCUAUUCGGUUUCUUGUCAAAAGACUGUUAGUAUUAUUGGUUUAUUCAUCAGUCAUGAUUUCUAAUGCAUAUUGUUACAUUAAUGAAAAAUGUUUAGAAUUUAGGGGUGCCAGAAUGGCAUUGUUUGGUACAUUGUAGUGUCUGAAGAAAAUUAAUGAGCAAUAAAUAAUGUUUUGCCUAAGA